CUUAUCUGUACGUGAAGAGACUAAUAUCUACCUUACAGAGCACAUGAGAGGCAUUAGCUUCUGAAAAAGCAGAGUCUCCUGGGCUACCUGGGAUCUUCCAGAGGAAGGAAGGGACUGCUGAGGAAAGGAGACAGCAACUGACCCCGAGGUCCCUCGCUUGGUGCCACAGUGCGGAGAAAUUCUGUCCUGACACAGAUGGUGGGAGCCCUGGCCACGGUUUCAGAGGAACCCAGUCGGAAUUGGAAUUUGGUAUUCUGGAACUACAAGAGAGAGGACUGGAUUAGCCACGUGCUUGCCAGCCCCUCCUCCGAUCUUGAAUCCUGUCCGUGACGAGGGCACCGGGGGAACGACUCAUCGGUGAUAAUUUGGGAGCCACUGCAGUCCCACUUGGUCUUUAAAUGUUAGACUUUUAAUGAUUUAGGAACCAAAAGAAUAACUAAGGAGCCCAGCAG
rnacentral:lncRNA from 1 species